UGGCGGCAUGCCUUACACAUGCAAGUCGAACGGCAGCACGGGAGCAAUCCUGGUGGCGAGUGGCGAACGGGUGAGUAAUAUAUCGGAACGUGCCCGGUCGUGGGGGAUAACGUAGCGAAAGCUACGCUAAUACCGCAUACGAUCUAUGGAUGAAAGCGGGGGAUCGCAAGACCUCGCGCGAUUGGAGCGGCCGAUAUCAGAUUAGGUAGUUGGUGAGGUAAAGGCUCACCAAGCCGACGAUCUGUAGCUGGUCUGAGAGGACGACCAGCCACACUGGGACUGAGACACGGCCCAGACUCCUACGGGAGGCAGCAGUGGGGAAUUUUGGACAAUGGGCGCAAGCCUGAUCCAGCAAUGCCGCGUGCAGGAUGAAGGCCUUCGGGUUGUAAACUGCUUUGUACGGAACGAAACGGUGAGCUCUAAUACAGUUUGCUAAUGACGGUACCGUAAGAAUAAGCACCGGCUAACUACGUG
rnacentral:rRNA from 1 species